GAUGAAGAACGUAGCGGAAUGCGAUAAGUAGUGUGAAUUGCAGAAUUCAGUGAAUCAUCGAAUCUUUGAACGCACAUUGCGCCCUUUGGUAUUCCAAAGGGCAUGCCUGUUCGAGCGUCAUUUGUACCCUCAAGCUUUGCUUGGUGUUGGGCGUCUUGUCUCUAGCUUUGCUGGAGACUCGCCUUAAAGUAAUUGGCAGCCGGCCUACUGGUUUCGGAGCGCAGCACAAGUCGCACUCUCUAUCAGCAAAGGUCUAGCAUCCAUUAAGCCUUUUUUUCAACUUUUGACCUCGGAUCAGGUAGGGAUACCCGCUGAACUUAAGCAUAUCAAUAAGCGGAGGA
rnacentral:misc_RNA from 1 species